rnacentral:tRNA from 1 species
AUUUCUUUAAUUUAUAUAGUUUAAAAAACAUUACACUUUCAUUGUAAAAUUAAAUAUUUAUUAUUUUAUAAAUAUUUAUUUUAA